rnacentral:rRNA from 1 species
CUCCAGACUCCUACGGGAGGCAGCCGUGCGGAAUAUUGGUCAAUGGGCGGGCUCCUGAACCAGCCCCUUCUCGUGAGGGCAGCCGGUCCUACGGCUUUUCAACCUCUUUUUCCUGGGAGCAACGGGGUCCUUGCGCUUUCCCGAUGAGAUUCCCCUGGGAAAACUCCUCUGCUAACUCCUGUCCAGCAGCCUCUUGCCUACGGAGUCUGCUCGCGUUAUCCGGAUUUAUUGGGUUUAAAGGGUGCGUAGGCGGGCUGGUAAGUCAGCGGGUAAAGUUUGUGGCUAAACCAUAAAAUUGCCGUUGAAACUGGUUGACUUGAGUAUAUUUGAGGGAGGCGGAAUGCGUGGUGUAGCGGGGAAAUGCAUAGAUAGAAAGAAGAACUCCGAUUGCGAAGGCAGCUUACUAAACUAUAACUGACACUGAAGCACGAAAGCGUGGGGAGCAAACAGGAUUAGAUACCCCUGUAGU